GAAUCUUGGACAAUGGGGGCAACCCUGAUCCAGCGAUGCCGCGUGUGUGAAGAAGGCCUUAGGGUUGUAAAGCACUUUAAUGAGGGAGGAGUAGUUUUCGUUGAAUAGGCGAGAAUGAGGACGUUACCUCAAGAAUAAGCACCGGCUAACUCUGUGCCAGCAGCCGCGGUAAUACAGAGGGUGCGAGCGUUAAUCGGAAUUAUUGGGCGUAAAGGGAGCGUAGGCGGAUGUGCAAGUGGUAGGUGAAAUACCCGGGCUUAACCUGGGGAGGUCCUAUCAGACAGCACGUCUAGAAUGUGGUAGAGGAAGGUGGAAUUCCUGGUGUAGCGGUGAAAUGCGUAGAUAUCAGGAAGAACAUCAAUGGCGAAGGCAGCCUUCUGGGCCAUAAUUGACGCUGAGGCUCGAAAGCGUGGGGAGCGAACAG
rnacentral:rRNA from 1 species